rnacentral:rRNA from 1 species
UACAUGGGGUGCAAACGUUGCUCGGAAUUAUUGGGCGUAAAGCGCACGUAGGCGGUUUGUUAAGUCGGAUGUGAAAUCCCUCGGCUCAACUGAGGAAGUGCAUCCGAAACUGGCAAGCUUGAGUACGAAAGAGGGUCGCGGAAUUCCCGGUGUAGAGGUGAAAUUCGUAGAUAUCAGGAAGAACACCCGUGGCGAAAGCGGCUCUCUGGAACGGUACUGACGCUGAGACGCGAAAGCGUGGGGAGCGAACAGG